CAUCCUGUCAGAUCAGCAGCGGCAUUACAUUCUGCAUUACGUGAACUUUGAAAAGACAACAAUCAGACCAAGUCCCCACUUGAAAGUCCCACCUUAUGGCCCUGUCCUCACCGGGAAAGGUUCUGCUCCUUCCUGGAUAACAAAGCCUUCAAUGAUGUGGCAUUUCAGAAGUCAGUUACUCACCUCCAAGACUGCUCUUCUCCUCCAUGACCUUUGGGCUCUCUGCCACUGGAGAUACCUUAGCAGGAAGUAUUGAACUCAAUGUGGAGACAUCAUCUCUGUCCUCCUCAGACUCAGCUUUGCGUUUGACAGCCAAAGUCUGGGGUUUACCCUACAGAGUAAAGAAUAGGGGGGGAAAAAAAAAAAAAACCAAGAUUUGAGAGAGAAGGAUAAUAAGGAACUACAAUUACGCCGACACCUUAGAGAAAAUUUUCUUAGUUCCAGAUUCCCCAAUUGGUACAUUUCCCAUGGUACACUAAAAUUUCUGGUUAUGCCCAAGAAGUAUAACUUCUGUAUCAACACAAAAGAAAAUGGAUUAUUUAGUUCUGACCUAGGUCUCGAGAGCCUGUAUUCAUUAUGGACCAAGAACUAUCGUGUUCCCAAAGAUUGAUUUGGUUAAGGCUAUCUUGAUCCAACUUAACUAUGUAUGUAUCCAAAAACUCAAGAAUUAUUUCAGUAACAAAUUUAGGAGUAAGAAGGUCAGAUAUUAUAUACAUUAAUGUAUCUCUUGCUUACAAAAGGAGCAGAUAAAUACCAGCAUUAACCUUCUCAACUCUUUAUUCCCCUAUUAAAUUCAACUAUUGCCACUCAGUCCAGAUCCACUCUCAUUAAUGACAGUGCCCUGGAAACCAUCAGACAUCACUCACCGGCAAGUGUACAGACUGCAUGUAGAAGGAAGCGGGGACCUGGGCUACAACGGGACCAAGAGAAGCAGGAAAAAAAAAGAAGGCAAAGAAAUGUACUCUGAAGAUUUCAAAUGAGUCCUGAGAAAACAAUGUCAUUACAAGAGGUGACAACUUACCUGAGCUAAUAAGCGUCUGGCUCGGCGCAGGUGUGGCUGUCCGUGUCAGGUUCAUGCCCACGUUCUGCUGACCACUCCCAUCUGCUUCUGCCUUC